rnacentral:rRNA from 1 species
AUGGAGGGAAAACAACAAUGGGACAUGGUGGACCCUGGAUUCAAGCUUUGCGCUCCAGUUCUGAAGAGAGCAGCAGGUAGACCAAGGAAGAGUCGAAUCAGACCUCGCAGCGAAGGAGCUGGACUUGGAGCGAGGAAGCAUAAGUGCACAAGGUGUGGUUGGUCUGGUCAUUUCGGUAAGUAUUAUGAUAACACAGUAGAUCCAGCGUUCGGAGAGAGUUUUGAUGAAGGCUUCGAUGAAAAUGUUGGUCAACAGCCGGUUGCCUCAACAGAUGAUGAAAAUGAUGGUCAACAACCGGUUGCAUCAGAUGAGGAUUUUGACGAGGUUCCAAAUGAUGAUGGUCAA